AUUGAACGCUGGCGGCAGGCUUAACACAUGCAAGUCGAGCGAGCGGCGGACAGGUGAGUAAUGUCUGGGAAACUGCCUGAUGGAGGGGGAUAACUACUGGAAACGGUAGCUAAUACCGCAUACCAUCAGAUGUGCCCAGAUGGGAUUAGCUAGUAGGUGGGGUAAUGGCUCACCUAGGCGACGAUCCCUAGCUGGUCUGAGUGGAUGCCCAGACAGACUGGAACUGAGAACCGGUGCAGACUCCUACGGGAGGCAGCAGUGGGGAAUAUUGCACAAUGGGCGCAAGCCGGAUGCAGCCAUGCCGCGUGUGGGAAGAAGGCCUUCGGGUUGUAAAGCACUUUCAGCGAGGAGGCGUUACUCGCAGAAGAAGCACCGGCUAACUCCGUGCCAGCAGCCGCGGUAAUUC
rnacentral:rRNA from 1 species